rnacentral:rRNA from 1 species
GACAGAGGGUGCAAACGUUGUUCGGAAUUACUGGGCGUAAAGCGUGUGUAGGCGGUUCGGAAAGUCGGAUGUGAAAGCCCCGGGCUCAACCCGGGAAGUGCACUCGAUACUACCGAACUAGAGUAUCGGAGAGGUUGGUGGAAUUCUCGGUGUAGAGGUGAAAUUCGUAGAUAUCGGGAGGAACACCGGUGGCGAAGGCGGCGACCUGGGUCGAUACUGACGCUGAGGCGCGAAAGCGUGGGGAGCAAACAGG